GGGGUGUGUGGGAGUGCAGGAAUGGAAUAGGGGGUGCUACUUCAGAUCAGGAAGGCACAGGCAAGAUCAUUUAUCUUUGUGCAGUCCAAACUGUUUUAGUUCAUCUAAACAGUACCCAUUUGGUGCUCCAGGCAGAGAGAGAUUCCUCUGCCUGCUGCAACAAAAGGACACUGUCAAGGGAAAAUUGGUGUUGGUAUGAAACCAAUAAAACAACAAAGGAUUGGCUACAGGCAUUGUCUUUGAUGUGAGAUCUGAAAUACAAUUGACCUGGAGGCCACCCGGAGGAUUCAGGGAGCCUGGGGUCUUUGGCGGCGGGUGGCCGCCGCUUU